ACGGGUGAGUAACACGUGGGCAACCUGCCCUUGAGACUGGGAUAACUUCGGGAAACCGGAGCUAAUACCGGAUAAUAUAAGGAACCUCCUGGUUCCUUGUUGAAAGAUGGUUUCGGCUAUCACUUAAGGAUGGGCCCGCGGCGCAUUAGCUAGUUGGUGAGGUAACGGCUCACCAAGGCGACGAUGCGUAGCCGACCUGAGAGGGUGAUCGGCCACACUGGGACUGAGACACGGCCCAGACUCCUACGGGAGGCAGCAGUAGGGAAUCUUCCACAAUGGACGAAAGUCUGAUGGAGCAACGCCGCGUGAGUGAUGAAGGCCUUCGGGUCGUAAAGCUCUGUUGUUAGGGAAGAACAAGUGCGAGAGUAACUGCUCGCACCUUGACGGUACCUAACCAGAAAGCCACGGCUAACUACGUGCCAGCAGCCGCGGUAAUACGUAGGUGGCAAGCGUUAUCCGGAAUUAUUGGGCGUAAAGCGCGCGCAGGUGGUUUCUUAAGUCUGAUGUGAAAGCCCACGGCUCAACCGUGGAGGGUCAUUGGAAACUGGGGAACUUGAGUGCAGAAGAGGAAAGUGGAAUUCCAAGUG
rnacentral:rRNA from 1 species